AGAUUGAACGCUGGCGGCAUGCUUUACACAUGCAAGUCGAGCGGCAGCGCGGGGCAACCUGGCGGCGAGCGGCGAACGGGUGAGUAAUAGAUAGGAACGUGUCCGGGAGUGGGGGAUAACUAGCCGAAAGGUUAGCUAAUACCGCAUGUUCUCCAAGGAGGAAAGCGGGGGACCAGAAAUGGCCUCGCGCUCGCGGAGUGGCCUAUCUCCGAUUAGCUAGUUGGUGAGUAAAGGCUCACCAAGGCGACGAUCGGUAGCGUGGUCUGAGAGGAUGAUCAGCUACACUGGACUGAGACACGGCCAGACUCCACGGGAGCAGGCAGUGGGAAUUUUGGACAAGUGGGCGCAAGCCUGAUCCAGCCAUCGCGCGUGCGGG
rnacentral:rRNA from 1 species